GACCGCGUAGCUCAGUUGGAAGAGCAUUGGGCUAGUAUUCCAAAGGUCGUAGGUUCGAUUCCCACCGUGGCCG